UUCCAUCCUUCUGACCAUAGUGAUUGGACCAAGAGGAGCCAAUCAGUAUCCUCUUUUCAACUUUUAUCCCAGCCCUAUUCAGAGAAACUCCUUUGACUGGGUUUGCUUCACUGAAGGAGGAUAGGCAUUUGGAGCUGCUGUGGGUUCUCCCACCCUGCAAGAGGCCCGAGCUCUGACCAUGUCUGGGCUCCUGGAUCCUCUGCAAGUUAAGCAAAGUGGAGCCUAGAAUGCAAUGGGAGGGGAUCCUGGAAGACAUCAAAGAGGCUCCUCGACUCCAGCUGGCCGGAGGCUAACUCAUCCUACGUCAUGACAAAAAUGAUCCUGAGGAGACCAGAGACCAGUGACCUCCUGAGGAACCCUGCCUCACAUCAGACACGGGAAGAGGACAGGAGAGUCCACCACCAGCCUGUUGUCAAAUGUGAACAAAAACUCAGCGGGACAGUCAAGAGAGAAACAUGUGCCACCUAAGGACAGCCCCGUUUCUUCAUGAAUGACAGGCUUUCGAGGCCGCUCCCUGGUUCCUAAGUCCCAUUCCUGGCAAAGCCUAGCUCAACCAGGUGGGAGGGGCUUGUUCACCCUGACCCAACUUGUCAGGAUCGGUACCCAGGUUCUUGAGACCUGGUCGCCCCUUUUCAAACCAUGAAGGGAUCUUGUGUUUUGUUCAAAGAAGUAGAUCAACCCUCCCAACUCUACAGAAGAGGUGAGCUCGGACAGCUUAGCCUUGGGCCCGAGAGUGCAACUUCCACCAGAUGCUGAAGAUUUUCCUCCCUCACCCAUGUCAGCUGCCAGCCAGGGGAGGAGAGGCCUCGCACCAGAUUUAGCCCUGGCUAGGGAGAGGCACCCGCUUGUAACAUUUCGAAAUGAAAUCAAGCCACAGUGCCAAGGAUCAUUGACUCCCACCCGGAUUGUGCAUGUACGCACUGACUUGGAAGGGCACAGCACCCCACCUCUCCAUCUCCCUCCCUCUGUGCUAAGUGAAGGUGGACGGGACAAGUGCCAUUCUCCAAGCCACCUGCUCAGUUCUGCAGUGACUUAAUCAAAACCAGUAAGCACCCUUUUCCAUUCUUUUUAAAGCCAGCAGCACAGACCAAAAGAACAAGACUAGCCCAAAUUGAACAUCGUAAUUAAAAAGCCUCUUACCUGA